UGACGAUGCUAAAUUGCUUGAAUACACAAAUGGGACAUGUAACUUUGAAUUCAAAGAUCUGAGCUACUCUACCAGCUACACGGUGCAGGUGUCAGUUUCCAACGGACAUUUUGAGAGCAGCCGCCCCGCGACAAAAGAUGUUGACACUCUCUAUAAUGACAAAGCUGUCAUUGGUAUUCUCAUCUUUCUCAUCAUCCUCACAUCUGUGACUCUGCUUCUGGUCAUCUACAAGAUAUGCACUUUAAAGUGCAAUAAGUCCAAGACUCUUCAAAACUAACUUCAGAGGACUGCAGAAAUGUAAACUGAGUGGAGGGGAAAAGACUGGGACACUGAAGAGCAUUGUCACACAACCCCAUUUCUAAAAAAGUUGAGACACUGUGUAAAAUGAAAAAUAAAUAAAUUCAAUGGUUUGCAAAUUAUAAGAAAAAAAUCCUGUAUUUAACUGAUAAUUGCACAAAAAAGCAUAAGUUGAAAGAAAUUUAGUUUUUUGAAAAAUAUGCUCAAUUUAAAAUUUGAUUUCAAACAGGGAAAGGUGCAGUACAUACAGUAUGUACCCCUCUUAUGCUUUGCGCAUAACCUCAUGCAUACGUGGACAUGGACGAGGGAUGCGUAUGCAUUCCUAUUCAUAUUUCAAAUAGAAGGUCUGCGUUCUGUCCACGUACACUGACGGUUUCCAAGCAUUGUGGUACAUGCACAGUUGGGGCUUUUGCUGUAUGAAGCAUCCACAUAAACUUUUGGUCUGCACAUGGAUGUCAGAGCGGAGCUGCACAGACCCUUGUGGACCUGCGACAAUGAUGAAAAUUGCAUCACUCGACCUUAGCAGACAUGCAGAACCCCAAAGCAUGAAUGCCUCUGAGGAGACCAGCUGCUUUAAUUUUGAAAGAGAAAUGUUUUCCCUUUCUUGCUUGAUACAGGAUUUCACUGGGUCUCCUUUGUUGUAUUUUUCAUUUCAUAAUGUGCCAAAUGUUUCCCGAGUGACAGGCCUGGACUGCAGACCGGCUAGUUUAGCACCCAGAACCUUUUUACGGAGCAGUGCUCCUUGAAUACAUGCAGACUGUGGUUUGGCAUUGUCUUGAUGAAAUAAACAAGGCCUUCUCUAAAAGGCCUUCCUCUUUAGCAUGGGGGAUGCAGCAUCCAUGAUUUCAAAAAAGAAUUUCAGUUUUUCACUCUUCAGACAACAGCACAGUUUCUCCACUUCACCUCCGUCCAUCUUAAAGUUCAAGCCCAGAGAAGGUGGCGGCAUGUCUGGAUCUCUUCUUUUUCCUCAGCAUGACUUGAUGAGUUGUAACUUACAUUUAUGUACGCACCAAUGAACAAUGUUUACUGGCAGUGGUUUCCAAAGGUGUCCAGGAGCCCCUGCAGUGAUUUGAUGAUAUAGAAUGAUGUCUGUAUUUUAAUGCAUUUUCACCUGUGGGUCUGAGGAUCACAGCCAUUCAGGAAUGGGUUUCAGUCUUAUCCCAUGCUAGAUAGGUUUCUCUGGAUUCUCUGGAUCUUUUGAGGUUAUGUACUGUAGAUGAGUAAGAACCCCAAAUCUUUGCAACUUUAUUUUUAGAAAUGUUAUUCUAAAAUUGUUGAACUAUUUGUGUAGUGAACCUCAUCGUAUCUUUACUUCUGAAAUACUCAGCCUCUCUGGGAGGCUUUCAGAAUAAACCUAUAUAAGCCAAAAUAUAUUAAAUUUAUUAAUUUGAACAUUAGAUAUCUUAUUUUUGUACAGUUAUCAAAUGAAUAGAGGGUAAAGGGGGUUUUAAAUUUACAGUGUCCCAACAUUUUCUGGAAACAGGGUCGUAUGUUACAAAGACAAAAAAACACUCU